UACGUAGGGGGCGAGCGUUGUCCGGAUUUACUGGGCGUAAAGCGCGUGUAGGCGGCUGUUUAAGUUGGGUGUGAAAGCCCGGGGCUCAACCCCGGGACGCCGCCCAAGACUGGACGGCUUGAGGACGGAAGAGGGGCGUGGAAUACCUGGUGUAGCGGUGAAAUGCGUAGAUAUCUGGAGGAACACCGGUGGCGAAGGCGGCAUCCUGGACCAACACUGACGCUGAGGAGCGAAAGCCAGGGGAGCAAACGGG
rnacentral:rRNA from 1 species